UACGUAGGGUGCGAGCGUUGUCCGGAAUUACUGGGCGUAAAGGGCUUGUAGGUGGUUUGUCGCGUUGUUCGUGAAAACUCACAGCUUAACUGUGGGCGUGCGGGCGAUACGGGCAGACUGGAGUACUGCAGGGGAGACUGGAAUUCCUGGUGUAGCGGUGGAAUGCGCAGAUAUCAGGAGGAACACCGGUGGCUAAGGCGGCUCUCUAGUACGGUACUGACGCUAAGGCGCGAAAGCGUGGGGAGCGAACAGG
rnacentral:rRNA from 1 species